rnacentral:rRNA from 1 species
AUUGAACGCUGGCGGCAUGCCUUACACAUGCAAGUCGAACGGCAGCACGGACUUCGGUCUGGUGGCGAGUGGCGAACGGGUGAGUAAUAUAUCGGAACAUACCCUAGAGUGGGGGAUAACGUAGCGAAAGUUACGCUAAUACCGCAUACGAACUAAGGUUGAAAGCGGGGGAUCUUCGGACCUCGUGCUCAUGGAGUGGCCGAUAUCUGAUUAGCUAGUUGGUGAGGUAAAGGCUCACCAAGGCGACGAUCAGUAGCUGGUUUGAGAGAACGACCAGCCACACUGGAACUGAGACACGGUCCAGACUCCUACGGGAGGCAGCAGUGGGGAAUUUUGGACAAUGGGCGCAAGCCUGAUCCAGCAAUGCCGCGUGAGUGAAGAAGGCCUCGGUUGUAAGCUCUUUGUCAGGGAAGAAACGGUAGAGUCCUAAUAAUGGCUUGCUAAUGACGGUACCUGAAGAAUAAGCACCGGCUAACUACGUAGCCAGCAGCCGCGGUAA